CCCCUGGUGGUCUAGUGGUUAAGACUCUGCAUUUCCACUGCAGGGGGCGAAGUUUCAAGCCCUGGUCAGGGAA
rnacentral:tRNA from 1 species